rnacentral:rRNA from 1 species
AUUGAACGCUGGCGGCAGGCCUAACACAUGCAAGUCGAACGAGUGGCGGACGGGUGAGUAAUGUCUGGGACACUGCCUGAUGGAGGGGGAUAACUACUGGAAACGGUAGCUACUCCCGCAUACCAUCGGAUGUGCCCAGAUGGGUUUAGGUAGUUGGUGGGGUAAAGGCUAACCUAGGCGACGAUCCCUAGCUGGUCUGAUAGGAUGACCAGCCACACUGGGACGGAGACACGGUCCAGACUCCUACGUGAGGCAGCAGUGGGGAAUAUUGCACAAUGGGCGCAAGCCUGAUGCAGCCAUGCCGCGUGUAUGAAGAAGGCCUUCGGGUUGUAAAGUACUUUCAGCGGGGAGGCGUUACCCACAGAAGAAGCACCGGCUAACUACGUGCCAGCAGCCGCGGUAAUUC